CAUAAUCAUUAGCUCUUUUAAUUGGAAGCUCGUAUGAAUGGUUAAACAAAAGAGAUUCUGUCUGCUUCUUUAAAAUUUGAAUUUAACUUUUAAGUGAAAAGGCUUAGAUCUAUCAAAGGGACGAUAAGACCCUAUAAAGCUUUAUAAAUAAUCAAGGUUUAAUGAAUUAGAAAAUAAAAAAAAAUUUUUAUUAUUUAUUGUGUUGGGGCGACACGGAUAUAAAUUAGAUAACUGUCAGAGAAAAUAACAUAGUAUACAUGAAAGGUAAAAUGAUCCUUAAUAAAGAUUAUAAGACAAAGUUACUUUAGGGAUAACAGCGUUAUUUUUUUUGAGAGCCCAUAUCGAAAAAAAAGUUUGCGACCUCGAUGUUGAAUCAUAAAAUCUUUAUAAUGCAGCAGUUAUAAGAG
rnacentral:rRNA from 1 species